rnacentral:rRNA from 1 species
AAUGAAUGCUGGCGGCAUGGAUUAGGCAUGCAAGUUGAACGAGAAAUUCACUUCGGUGAAUGGAAAGUGGCGAAAGGGUGAGUAACGCGUGAAUAAUCUGCCCCUAAGUUUGGAACAACAGUUGGAAACGACUGCUAAUACCGGAUGUGACUAUUAAGACGCAUGUUUUAAUAUUUAAAGGUUACGCUUAGGGAUGAGUUCGCGUGCCAUUAUGCUAGUUGGUAAGGUAACGGCUUACCAAGGCUAUGACGGCUAGGUGGUCUGAGAGGACGAUCACCCACACUGGGACUGAGACACUGCCCAGACUCCUGCGGGAGGCUGCAGUCGAGAAUCUUCCGCAAUGCGCGAAAGCGUGACGGAGCAAUGCCGCGUGAUCGAAGACGGCCUUCGGGUUGUAAAGAUCUGUCAGGGGGGAAAAACGAUGAUGGUACCCCCAGAGGAAGCCACGGCUAACUACG